CGUAGAACGGUUGAUCGGUUGUGGUCGAUAACAGAGGACCUAAAUAUAUUGUAUAAGGAAAAUUGGACUAGACUUGCAGCCCAGGAAGUUCAACAAUUUCAGGAUAUGCUUUUGCGCUCUGUACGAGCGACGAAAAUUCAACAGACUGGCAUCCAACCAUCAAUAAAACCGCAUAAAUGGACAUAUGCAUCGGCAUUUUUAUAUUCAAUCACAUUGAUAACUACAAUUGGAUUUGAUCGCAACAAAUCAACCAUCUCUUCAAUUUGUGCAGCAGUAAAAGCACAAUUUUCAACCGGGAUGUUUAUUUCCGAUAACACAGAAUAAUCACUAUUCCAUGC